GUAAUUUGACCGUGCGAAGGUAGCAUAAUCAAUAGUCUCUUAAUUGGAGGCUGGAAUGAAUGGUCGGACAAAGAGCUGGCUGUCUCUUUUGUACUUUUUGAAGUUUACCUUUAAGUGAAAAGGCUUAAAUAACUUUGAGGGACGAUAAGACCCUAUAAAACUUUACAGGUUUAUUUGUGCUUUUUGAAUUAAAGUUUAAUAUAAGCUACAAGUUACCUGUUGCGUUGGGGUGACGAAGAUAUAAUAAGUAACUGUCAUAUAAAUAAAAUAAUAAUAAUUAGUUUAAUUGAUCCUAUAUUAGAGAUUAUAAGAAAAAGUUACUUUAGGGAUAACAGCGUAAUUUUCUCUGAGAGUUCUUAUCGACGAGAGUAGUUGCGACCUCGAUGUUGAAUUAAGAUUUCUUUCAAGUGUAGCAGCUUGGUAAGUAGGUCUGUUCGACCUUUAAAAUCUU
rnacentral:rRNA from 1 species